rnacentral:rRNA from 1 species
UACGUAGGCAGCAAGCGUUGUUCGGAGUUACUGGGCGUAAAGGGUGUGUAGGCGGUUAUUUAAGUUUGGUGUGAAAUCUCCCGGCUCAACUGGGAGGGUGCGCCGAAUACUGAAUAACUUCGAGUGCGGGAGAGGAAAGUGGAAUUCCUGGUGUAGCGGUGAAAUGCGUAGAUAUCAGGAGGAACACCGGUGGUGUAGACGGCUUUCUGGACCGUAACUGACGCUGAGACACGAAAGCGUGGGUAGCGAACGGG